CGGCCGGGGCGGAGAGGCCGGACCCUGGCGCGGGGCGCUCGUGGGAAGGGGCGCCGCACGAGUGAAGAGGGAGCCUCCUUUUCAGAGCAGGCCGAGCCCCGCUGGGCGAGGAGCGCCGGUGCCGCCGCGGCAGAGCGGGGUUAGCUGUCGGGAGCGAUGGGCGACUGGAGCUUUUUGGGGCGGCUGCUGGAGAACGCGCAGGAGCACUCCACAGUCAUCGGCAAGGUGUGGCUGACCGUGCUGUUCAUCUUCCGCAUCCUGGUGCUGGGGGCAGCGGCCGAGGAGGUGUGGGGCGACGAGCAGUCAGACUUCACCUGCAACACGCAGCAGCCCGGCUGCGAGAACGUCUGCUACGACCGUGCCUUCCCCAUCUCGCACAUCCGCUUCUGGGCGCUGCAGAUCAUCUUCGUGUCCACGCCCACCCUCAUCUACCUGGGCCACGUGCUGCACAUCGUGCGCAUGGAGGAGAAGAAGAGGGAGCGGGAGGAGGAGCUGCUGAGGAGAGACAACCCUCAGCACGGCCGUGGCCGCGAGCCGAUGCGUACAGCGAGUCCGCGGGACCCGCCGCUGCGUGAUGACCGUGGUAAGGUGCGCAUUGCCGGCGCGCUGCUGCGGACCUACGUCUUCAACAUCAUCUUCAAGACGCUCUUCGAGGUGGGCUUCAUCGCGGGCCAGUACUUUCUAUAUGGCUUCCAGCUGCAGCCACUUUACCGCUGUGACCGCUGGCCCUGCCCCAACACGGUAGACUGCUUCAUCUCUAGGCCCACGGAGAAGACCAUCUUCGUCAUCUUCAUGCUUGCUGUGGCCUGUGCGUCACUGGUGCUCAACAUGCUGGAGAUUUACCACCUGGGCUGGAAGAAGCUCAAGCAGGGGGUUACCAACCACUUCAGCCCAGAUGCCUCAGAAACCAAACACAAGCCCUUGGAACCCCAACCUCAGGCCUCCAGCUCUGAUCCGCCCAGCGCCUCCAUUGGGCUCCCACCUUACUACACACACCCUGCCUGUCCCCCAAUACAGGCCAGGGCCACAGGGUUCCCUGGGGGCCCACCACCACCGGCAGACUUCACAGUGGUAACCCUGAAUGAUGCACAAGGCAGAGACCCCCCUGUCAAGCACUGUAAUGGCCACCAUCUAGUCACAGAGCAGAACUGGGCCAGCCGAGUGCCAGAGCGGCAGACUCCAGCCAGCAAGGCCUCUUCGGCAGCGUCCAGCCCUGAGGGUCGCAAGGGGCUCACGGACAGCAGUGGCAGCAGCUUAGAGGAGAGUGCCUUGGUGGUGACGCCAGAGGAGGGAGAGCAGGCCUUGGCCACCACAGUGGAGAUGCAUUCCCCACCCUUGGCCCUCCUGGACCCAGGAAGGUCCAGCAAGGCCAGCAUCGGGCGGGCCAGACCUGGUGACUUGGCCAUCUAGCCAUAGUCUCUCCAGACAGCCUUAUAAACCUUCCCUUUCCUCCUUAGAAACAAACAACAGCAACAAAACCAAAAUGCAUUUCAAAUCAGCAGGUAGAGAGAGAGAGAAACCCUGACAGCGCUGGAGUCCCCGGAAACACCGAACAAACCCAGUCAGGUGUCUGUUUUAAUGCUUGCUGUUCCUGUCGCUGUGGGAUAGAGUGGGUCUGACACCAGCGUGUCUGAGGUCGAGAGGGGGCGGGGUUGUUGGCUCUUAAAGAUGCUCCCAGCAGCGGUUGCUCUCGGACUCCUCCAUCUGCAGUUCCUGUUCUGCCGUGAUAAAGCAACAGGUGUUUGCAGCCCCUUCAGGGGGAGACAAUUGGGUUUCCAUUCCUAAGCUCUCCAAACAGCCCAGAGAGUCGCAGAGGCACUUAGCUCUAUCUCGGUUUGAUACUUUUAACUUAGAGUUGAAUUUCAUUUGGGAUAUUUGCCAAACUGUACUAAAAAAAGAUUUAGAGGGACUCUAUCUAGUGUCAUUUGAGUUUCUGGAAUUGCCUGUGAGGUCCAGGCUACCCAACCACAGGCUGCAUAGCAAAUCGACACAGAGCAGCUGCCCUCCAGAGGGCGGUUCUGUGGGGCAGGACCACAGCCAUUACUGGUAGAGGCAGGUGGAGAUGCAGAGACCCUGGAAAGCCCUCAGCAGAUGAGGAAAAUGACCACAGUGUGGCAGGAACCACAGGGAAACCAACCCAAAAGACUUACUAGAUCUCACUCCAAACUAGCCUGAAACUUUCUACGUAGCCCUCCUGUUGAAACCUGCUGAUAUGGUGGCUCGUUCAAGUAGUCCUGGAACUUGGGAAGCUGAGGCAAGAAGAUGCUGUGAGUCUGAGGCCAGUCAGUGCUACAUAAUUUCAGGACAGUCUGGAAAUGGUACCCCCACCCUAGGAAAGAACUUCUUCACUUCCUAUCACCUCUAUCCUGGCUGUCACAUCCAGGAGAGAGAUGAGUCACCUUCACCGAUUUGUUUUGAAGGACACAGCUCGGGCAUAACCAGAGAGCAAAAAGAUGCCGAGGGCUAGGUGGGUGAUGUCACACCACCUCCCAGUGCCAUGGGGCCUAGUACAGCUGAAAAAUGAUCUAAUUAGGAACAUGUCUAAAAGGAUUGUCAUUAUCGACAAUGUUUUGAUGACACCAGUCCCUUUUUUUUUUUAAGCUUUGCAUUCUAUAAGUCACAUCCUGGAGGACCA